rnacentral:rRNA from 1 species
AUGGACCGUCCCGACCGAAUCCCUCGCAGCCGUUUCGACCUGCAUCUCCGCGACCGCAGCAAGGGGAUGCUCCAGCUGCUUGAUUGCCGCCACGGCCGCGUCCUCACGUUCACGUACAAUCGGCCGAAUGAGGUCAUCGUGAGCGACCCUAUCACCGGCGGGCAGCGCCGCAUAGCCCUUCCGCCAGAGUUCGUAGGAAGACGCUUCAACGGGGCUGUGCUCUGCGCUUCCGUCCACCAUGACCACAUGCACGGAAGCUGCCACUCGAGCCCCUUCAACGUCGUGUUGAUCUCUGAUAACGGAGCAUAUGAUCCACCUAUCACUUGUGUUUACUCUUCAGAGACUGGCAUAUGGGGUGAUAUCAUUUCAGCAACCGUUCCAUGUCACCUUUUUGAUGAAGGUAUCUCUGGCUUGCUUGUUGAUAAUGCACUUUACUGGUUGCUGGAAUCUAUAAGCGACGGCAUGCUUAAGUUUGAUUUGGAUGAGCAGAGCCUAGCUGUGAUUAGUGGGCCUCCCGUUAUAGAUGCUGAUUUCCCACGUGGCAGCCAUUGGAUCAUCCAGGCUGAGGAUGGUGCUGUUGGCUUCACCAUAUUGUCUUGCCCACAAUUACAAAUGUGGCAGAGGAAUAUCAAUUGCUAUGGUGUUGCCACAUGGGUGCUAUGGAAGACCAUUGACAUGUGUACAAUUCUUGGGCUCCCUAAACAGAUUCAAGGAGAGGAGGCAGACGAGAGAAAUAUACUGGGAUGCCUUGAGGAUAGUGAUGAAAUAAUUCUAUCUGUGGGCCGUGCUGCCUAUGUGGUUCAGCUUAAGUCGAUGAAGUCUAGGAAACUUUGUGAAAACGGUAGUCAUACUCUCUAUCAUUCAUUCAAAAGUUUCUAUCCUCCAGGCACAUCCAUUGCUGGUGGAUUUGAUGGAGCUGAAAUGAUGCAUGAUUCACAGGGUAAUUGUUUGGUUUGA